CCAAUAGCGUAUAUUAAAGUUGUUGCAGUUAAAAAGCUCGUAGUUGAAUUUCGGGGUUAGUAGGUUGGUCAUGCCUCUGGUAUGUACUGGUCUCACUGAUUCCUCCUUCCUGAUGAACCUUAAUGCCAUUAAUUUGGUGUUUUGGGGAAUUUGGACUGUUACUUUGAAAAAAUUAGAGUGUUUAAAGCAAGCUAACGCUUGAAUACAUUAGCAAGGAAUAAUGAAAUAGGACGUUCGAUCCUAUUUUGUUGGUUUCUAGGAUUGACGUAAUGAUUAAUAGGGAUAGUUGGGGGCAUUAGUAUUCAAUUGUCAGAGGUGAAAUUCUUGGAUUUAUUGAAGACUAACUACUGCGAAAGCAUUUGCCAAGGAUGUUUUCAUUAAUCAAGAACGAAAGUUAGGGGAUCGAAGACGAUCAGAUACCGUCGUAGUCUUAACCAUAAACUAUGCCGACUAGGGAUCGGAUGAUGUUAAUUUUUUAAUGACUCAUUCGGCGCCUUACG
rnacentral:rRNA from 1 species